rnacentral:rRNA from 1 species
UACGAAGGGGGCAAGCGUUGUUCGGAAUUACUGGGCGUAAAGCGUGCGUAGGCGGUGCCAUAAGUCUGUUGUGAAAUCUCCCGGCUUAACUGGGAGGGUGCGGUGGAAACUGUGGUGCUGGAGUGUGGGAGAGGUAGGCGGAAUUCCUGGUGUAGCGGUGAAAUGCGUAGAUAUCAGGAGGAACACCUGUGGUGUAGACGGCUUACUGGACCAUGACUGACGCUGAGGCACGAAAGCGUGGGGAGCAAACAGG